rnacentral:rRNA from 1 species
ACGGGAGGCAGCAGUGGGGAAUAUUGCACAAUGGGGGAAACCCUGAUGCAGCGACGCCGCGUGAGUGAAGAAGUAUUUCGGUAUGUAAAGCUCUAUCAGCAGGGAAGAAAAUGACGGUACCUGACUAAGAAGCCCCGGCUAACUACGUGCCAGCAGCCGCGGUAAUACGUAGGGGGCAAGCGUUAUCCGGAUUUACUGGGUGUAAAGGGAGCGUAGACGGCAUGGCAAGCCAGAUGUGAAAGGCAGGGGCUCAACUCCUGGACUGCAUUUGGAACUGUCAAGCUAGAGUAUCGGAGAGGUAAGUGGAAUUCCUAGUGUAGCGGUGAAAUGCGUAGAUAUUAGGAGGAACACCAGUGGCGAAGGCGGCUUGCUGGACGAUAACUGACGUUGAGGCUCGAAAGCGUGGGGAGCAAACAGGAUUAGAUACCCUGGUA